rnacentral:rRNA from 1 species
CCUACGGGUGGCAGCAGUGGGGAAUAUUGCACAAUGGGGGAAACCCUGAUGCAGCGACGCCGCGUGAAGGAAGAAGUAUUUCGGUAUGUAAACUUCUAUCAGCAGGGAAGAAAAUGACGGUACCUGACUAAGAAGCCCCGGCUAACUACGUGCCAGCAGCCGCGGUAAUACGUAGGGGGCAAGCGUUAUCCGGAUUUACUGGGUGUAAAGGGAGCGUAGGCGGCGAUGCAAGUCAGAAGUGAAAGCCCGGGGCUCAACUCCGGGACUGCUUUUGAAACUGUAUGGCUAGAGUGCAGGAGAGGCAAAUGGAAUUCCUAGUGUAGCGGUGAAAUGCGUAGAUAUUAGGAGGAACACCAGUGGCGAAGGCGGUUUGCUGGACUGUAAAUGACGCUGAGGCUCGAAAGCGUGGGGAGCAAACAGGAUUAGAUACCCCUGUAGUC